rnacentral:rRNA from 1 species
UACGUAGGGGGCUAGCGUUGUCCGGAAUCAUUGGGCGUAAAGCGCGUGUAGGCGGUCCGGUAAGUCCGCUGUGAAAGUCGGGGGGCUCAACCCUCGAAUGCCGGUGGAUACUGUCGGGCUAGAGUGCGGAAGAGGCGAGUGGAAUUCCUGGUGUAGCGGUGAAAUGCGCAGAUAUCAGGAGGAACACCAAUUGCGAAGGCAGCUCGCUGGGACGUAACUGACGCUGAGAACGCGAAAAGCGUGGGGGAGCAAACAGG